rnacentral:rRNA from 1 species
GACGAACGCUGGCGGCGUGCCUAACACAUGCAAGUCGAACGGAAAGGCCCUGCUUUUGUGGGGUGCUCGAGUGGCGAACGGGUGAGUAACACGUGAGUAACCUGCCCUUGACUUUGGGAUAACUUCAGGAAACUGGGGCUAAUACCGGAUAGGAGCUCCUGCUGCAUGGUGGGGGUUGGAAAGUUUCGGCGGUUGGGGAUGGACUCGCGGCUUAUCAGCUUGUUGGUGGGGUAGUGGCUUACCAAGGCUUUGACGGGUAGCCGGCCUGAGAGGGUGACCGGCCACAUUGGGACUGAGAUACGGACCAGACUCCUACGGGAGGCAGCAGUGGGGAAUAUUACACAAUGGGCGGGAGCCUGAUGCAGCAACGCCGCGUGCGGGAUGACGGCCUUCGGGUUGUAAACCGCUUUCGCCUGUGACGAAGCGUGAGUGACGGUAAUGGGUAAAGAAGCACCGGCUAACUACGUG